rnacentral:ncRNA from 1 species
CUUUUUAACUGCCAAACCCAGUGCGAGCUGGGGACGGAAAGCCACGGGUCUCGCAAGGAACUGCAGAGACAGCCGGGUUGCACAG